rnacentral:lncRNA from 1 species
GGAAAGCACCCAUUCUCCCCUCUUUUCCGCAUUACGGGCCUUUUCUGCUUCUCCCCAGUAUGGUCCGAAACUACAGGAGGGGAACCCCUCCUGGCCCGGCCUUUCUAUUCCCUGGCUGGAGUGAUUCCGCCUGAAGGAGAAUUCGCCCGUUUUCCCCGGACCCAGCUGCCACAAGCAUUUAGUAUUAGGCUGCCGCUUAUUAUUAGAGCGGGCUUAGAACAUCCUCAGCGAGGGAAAAGUUCAGUUAGAAGACAUACUUCACCAUCUUGAAAAAGAAGAAAUCAAUCCCCUUGCUACUACAGAAGAACAACUCUGUUUGGUGCUUAUUCCAGCCAGCACAGUGAAGACAGGCUGAGGACUGCUACCACAGAUGUAGAAGAGCUUAUAGUGAAGCACAUGGGUGAAACAAAAGAAGUGAGAACUAAUAGCAUAGAAUUUUAAAGACACCUGUGAUUUUGUUCAUUGCCCUUCAUUAAAUUGACAUAUUAAAAACUAAUGUUUGGCUAUCACUGUAUAGUUUGAAAAGCA